rnacentral:lncRNA from 1 species
CCUCUGCUAAACAAGUAGCUGAAGCAGGAAUGAAUGUAACAUCUUUACUUUCUAGAAUCCUAAUGUUCACAGAAUGGUUUAGUUAAGACUUUAGAUAAGCCAAUAGAGUAGCUCGUCUCGUCUCAUAGUAUGAAUAAGAAGCAAAGUCAAUAGUCACUUCAAUCGGCAUAAUCAAAAUAGAAAUAUUGGAAAGGAAUAGUAGAGGGCUAGAAGCUACUCGUUCACAUUGGGAACCACCACAGAAAGCCUCAUAACACUCGAAACUGCCCACUCCUAUGAGAAUGAUGACUAAACCCGCUAGAAGAUCGUUAAAACGUGAGAUAACUGCUUCUAAUCCACUCGAAAAAAGAUACCUAUUGCCCUAAC